AAGUUUUUACACACUUCUCUCUGCAAUUUCGACACUUAGAAAAUUUUGUUAAGGGUUGCUGUAACUGGAGGACGGAGGCAGAGAUGUAAGUGAAUUUGUCCGCUGACGAAACGGCACCGUUUAAGUUAAGUUAUAAGUUUUGCGGCGCUUCCCUAUAAAACGCCACAAUAGAAUCCGAUUCCCUAAUUCACAGAACGAUGCCAUAUAUUGUAAUAAUUGUGGCGUUUUUGACUAAAACGCCGGUAAAGGAUACCUUUUGCGGCGUUUUUAUAUAGAAACGCCGCUAAAACUCUCAUUUUCUUUUUGUCUUACUUUUAAAUAAUUAAUUACCAAUUUAUUUAACAAAUAAAUAAUUACUAACUUAUUUAUUUGUUUAUUUAUUUAUACCAAUUUUAGUUUGGUCCUAUAUUUACAAAUUAAAUAUUUAAUAACUAUAUAUAUAUCCAUAUAUAUUCAUAUAUAUCCAUAUAUAAGUAAAAAUAUAUACAAUGGACGUUAAUUUGGGUUAAAUAUUUUGCCAGUUAUAACUAUUAUUAAUUAUUAGUUAUAUUAACAAGUCUCAAAUUAUAAAUUAACCUUGUAAUCUUCAUAUUAACCAUUCAAUUUAUAUAUGUAGCUACGUACAUGCAUAAAGUGAUCAUCUUAUACCUAUUAUACUCAAAACUUAUCUUAAUAUUAAAUUUAUUCUGGAUAUAUAUUUUACAAAUAUAUAAGAACAUAUAUAUUUACCUCCAAAAUUAAUCAAUCUAAUAUUAACCUAUUAAGAAACCCUAAACCCCGGCCAAACCCCUAAAACAUCUAUAACCCUCAGUAAACCCUAAACCCUAAUAAUUUACCAUAUACCCCUAAAUUCACAUAACCCCUAAAGCAUAACCUAGCCCCUAAACCCUAAACUAUAAAUACCAAACCUUAAAUUCAUUUAUACCGGCCCGUACUCCUUAGAAUACCAUGCAUCGACCAAAAUAUUCCCUAAAUAUUCUUUAAUAAUAAAAAAAUAUAGUGAAAAUCUAUUAAAAUAUAAUAACUUAUAUUUAUAUAGUUAAAAAUAUUGUAUAAAGUUGAAAUAAGGAAGCAAUAUUAUCUUUAUGACAAAUUUUCGUAUGAAGCUUCGAAUGUCCUCUUAACAAAUGGAUGAAAUUUGUUAUAAUAAACCUGGUACAACAAAUUUUGUCUCUUUGUAUAAAAAACAAUUUUUUAUUAUAAAAUUUGGUAUAGAAAAUGUAUUUUUUUCGAUAAUAAGUUCGUAAAGGAUGAGGACACGGGUUAAAUGGCCUUUAAAGAAACGGCGCUGCUUAAAUUAAUUUUAGGUCACAUUUGCGGCGUUUGGCGUAAAAACGCCGCUAUUGCAUGCCUUUUGCAGCGCUACCGGAAAAAAUGCCACUAACUUUUCAAUUACAGAAAGAAACGGUGACGUUUUCACAAAAUUGUAGACAUAUUUGCGGCGUUUUACCUUAAAACGCCACUAAAUUUUCAAUUACAGAAAGAAACGGUGACGUUUUCACAAAAUUGUAGACAUAUUUGCGGCGUUUUCCCUUAAAACGCCACUAAUAGAGUACACAUUCAACUGAAACGACGCCGUUCUGACACAGUUUCAAGAAUAUUAGCGGCGCUUCCCUAUAAAACGCCACAAGAGAAACUGAUCCCUAACACGUAACGACGUCGUAUUGAUCCAUAUAAAACACGAACUUUAGCGGCGCUUAGCAAAAAAUGCCGCUAAAGAACAGAGAAUUAGUGGCGCUCAAAUAAAAACGCCACUAAUGAUACGAGCAUUACCGGCGCUUAGACAAAAACGCCGCUAAAGAAUAGAGAAUUAGUGGCGCUCAGAUAAAAACGCCACUAAUGAUACGAGCAUUAGCGGCGCUUAUACAAAAACGCCGCUAAAGGUUUAAAAAAUCGUAAAAACGACGUCGUUGGUUUUAGCCUUUUUUGUGGCGCUUUACAUAAAACGCCGCUAAUACCUAUUAUUGGAGGCGCUUGUUGGAAAUCGCCGCUGAUGGUCUACCUUUAGCGGCGCUUUGACUAAAUCGCCGCUAAUGCUCGAUUUUUUGCGGCGCUUUUCUUUCAAACGCCGCUAAAAGUGCCGUUAAAGGCUUAUUCUGGUGUAGUG
rnacentral:lncRNA from 1 species